ensembl:lncRNA
CUAGCCACUACCUGGUCAUUAAACUAGCCACUACCUGGUCAUUAAACUAGCCACUACCUGGUCAUUAAACUAGCCACCACCUGGUCAUUAAACUAGCCCCCACCUGGUCAUUAAACUAGCCACUACCUGGUCAUUAAACUAGCCACUUCCUGGUCAUUUGUCGUGGAAAUGUCCUGUAUUACCAAAUCAUGAGAGAGCAAACCACACACAAGGUUAGGCCAGGACCAGGUACAUACAGGUCAGGACCAGGUACAUACAGGUCAGGUUAGGACCAGGUACAUACAGGUUAGGACCAGGUACAUACAGGUCAGGACCAGGUACAUACAGGUCAGGACCAGGUACAUACAGGUCAGGACCAGGUACAUACAGGUCAGGACCAGGUACAUACAGGUUAGGACCAGGUACAUACAGGUCAGGACCAGGUACAUACAGGUCAGGACCAGGUACAUAUAGGUCAGGACCAGGUACAUACAGGUCAGGACCAGGUACAUACAGGUCAAGUUAGGACCAGGUACAUACAGGUCAGGACCAGGUACAUACAGGUCAGGACCAGGUACAUACAAGUCAGGACCAGGUACAUACAGGUCAGGACCAGGUAUAUACAGGUCAGGACCAGGUACAUACAGGUCAGGUUAGGACCAGGUACAUACAGGUCAGGUCAGGACCAGGUACAUACAAGUCAGGUUAGGACCAGGUACAUACAGGUCAGGACCAGGUACAUACAGGUUAGGACCAGGUACAUACAGGUCAGGACCAGGUACAUGCAGGUCAGGUCAGGACCAGGUACAUACAGGUCAGGACCAGGUACAUACAGGUCAGGACCAGGUACAUACAGGUCAGGUCAGGACCAGGUACAUACAGGUCAGGACCAGGUACAUACAGGUCAGGUCAGGACCAGGUACAUACAGGUCAGGACCAGGUACAUACAGGUCAGGACCAGGUACAUACAGGUUAGGACCAGGUACAUACAGGUCAGGACCAGGUACAUACAGGUCAGGACCAGGUACAUACAGGUCAGGUCAGGACCAGGUACAUACAGGUCAGGACCAGGUACAUACAGGUCAGGUUAGGACCAGGUACAUACAGGUCAGGUCAGGACCAGGUACAUACAGGUCAGGUUAGGACCAGGUACAUACAGGUCAGGUCAGGACCAGGUACAUACAGGUCAGGUUAGGACCAGGUACAUACAGGUCAGGACCAGGUACAUACAGGUUAGGACCAGGUACAUACAGGUCAGGACCAGGUACAUGCAGGUCAGGUCAGGACCAGGUACAUACAGGUCAGGACCAGGUACAUACAGGUCAGGACCAGGUACAUACAGGUCAGGUCAGGACCAGGUACAUACAGGUCAGGACCAGGUACAUACAGGUCAGGUCAGGACCAGGUACAUACAGGUCAGGACCAGGUACAUACAGGUCAGGACCAGGUACAUACAGGUCAGGACCAGGUACAUACAGGUUAGGACCAGGUACAUACAGGUCAGGACCAGGUACAUACAGGUCAGGACCAGGUACAUACAGUUCAGGUCAGGACCAGGUACAUACAGGUCAGGACCAGGUACAUACAGGUCAGGUUAGGACCAGGUACAUACAGGUCAGGUUAGGACCAGGUACAUACAGGUCAGGACCAGGUACAUACAGGUCAGGUUAGGACCAGGUACAUACAGGUCAGGUCAGGACCAGGUACAUACAGGUCAGGUCAGGACCAGGUACAUACAGGUCAGGUCAGGACCAGGUACAUACAGGUUAGGACCAGGUACAUACAGGUCAGGACCAGGUACAUGCAGGUCAGGUCAGGACCAGGUACAUACAGAUCAGGACCAGGUACAUACAGGUCAGGACCAGGUACAUACAGGUCAGGUCAGGACCAGGUACAUACAGGUCAGGACCAGGUACAUACAGGUCAGGUCAGGACCAGGUACAUACAGGUCAGGACCAGGUACAUACAGGUCAGGACCAGGUACAUACAGGUCAGGACCAGGUACAUACAGGUUAGGACCAGGUACAUACAGGCCAGUACCAGGUACAUACAGGUCAGGACCAGGUACAUACAGGUCAGGUUAGGACCAGGUACAUACAGGUCAGGUUAGGACCAGGUACAUACAGGUCAGGUCAGGACCAGGUACAUACAGGUCAGGUUAGGACCAGGUACAUACAGGUCAGGUUAGGACCAGGUACAUACAGGUCAGGUCAGGACCAGGUACAUACAGGUCAGGACCAGGUACAUACAGGUCAGGACCAGGUACAUACAGGUCAGGACCAGGUACAUACAGGUCAGGUUAGGACCAGGUACAUGCAGGUCAGGACCAGGUACAUACAGGUCAGGUCAGGUCAGGACCAGGUACAUACAGGUCAGGACCAGGUACAUACAGGUCAGGUCAGGUUAGGACCAGGUACCAGUGGUAAACAGAUGGAACCACACACCAGACCGGCUGUAUGUUGACGUCAUGGAGAUAGCAUAGAGAUAGGUUGACAUUUAUGAUUGACAGAUGAAACAGACUGAAGUGGUUGUGCAGGUCAGGUACUGACGAACAGAUAGAAGCAUGUCUCAGCAGACCGUAUAGCGCCACUCAGGGUCAACCAGGGUUACCAUGACACAUUUAGGCCCAGUUCCCUCCUUUGACCUAUGACCUAUGCUUAAUCAGUGUCCAGGAAAACACUUAACACUUAUUGUCCCUGUUGACCCAAUACAAACAAAAUAAAUAAUAUAAAUAUUAAUGAAUAAUAAUGAAUAAAAGGUGUCUGGUCAACCGGUUAUGCCGUUUUGUUUUGAGGAACAAUAGGAGGUCCUUUCAUCCGUUGUCUUUCUCCGAUUGUACAUUAUGGUGUAAAUAAAUAAAACACACACACACACAACACAACAUAGCAGAAGCAUGUUUUUGUCUUUCAUCCUUCCUUCCUUCCUUCCUUUCAUCCUUCCUUCCUUCCAUCCUUCCUUCCUUCCUUUCAUCCUUCCUUCCAUCCUUCCUUCCUUUCAUCCUUCCUUCCAUCCUUCCUUCCUUUCAUCCUUCCUUCCUUCCAUCCUUCCUUCCUUCCUUCCAUCCAUCCUUCCUUCCUUCCUUCCAUCCUUCCUUCCUUCCAUCCAUCCUUCCUUUCAUCCUUCCUUCCAUCCUUCCUUCCAUCCAUCCUUCCUUCCUUCCUUCCAUCCUUCCAUCCUUCCAUCCUUCCUUCCUUUCAUCCUUCCUUCCUUUCAUCCUUCCUUCCAUCCUUCCAUCCUUCCUUCCUUUCAUCCUUCCUUCCUUUCAUCCUUCCUUCCUUCCAUCCUUCCUUCUUUCCACUCUCUCUUUCUCUUCACUCCUUACCUUUUUGUAAUGGUCAACUGUAACCGUAGCAUAGAAGCGCUAGAAACAAACGAGGAAUGGAAUAGUACACAUGUACUGUAUGUAAAUCAUAUGUCUUGAUUGGCACUUUCCCUGG